GUGAGCCCCUUGGUGCGGAGAAACUUGGAGAUGAAGGACACGGCGGCGGCGAUCUCGCCUAUCAUGGUGGCGGCCCGGGUGUAGAAGGGAUGCAUGGGGGCGGCGUGCGGGGGCGGCCCGGGGCGGCUGGGGCUCGGCGGCGCGGCCCCGACGGCGGAGCAGCCACCCCGGGCUUCCUCACCGGGCGGAAGGCUGAGAGGAAGAGAGGGCGUGAGGGGCGGACGACUACUUUUGUCUUUCUUUCUUUAGACUAAAAAAGUUAUUUUCGAGACAGGAGGCGGCAGGAGAGAGGAAGAGACGAGCGAUGGCGGCCUGGUCACAUCGCUCGGACCUCCCCAGCUGCCUCCGCCUCCAGCUCCGCAGCAUUCGAAGAUCUCAAUAGCUGCAUUUCCAGCUCCGAGAGGCGAAGAGAUGCAAGCGCCGUGCAGCACCCUUUAUAGUGCCACGAAAAGGAAGUGGCGUAGCUGGAGCGUGAUGGCCGACUCCAGCCAAUCCGAAUAUCGCACCAUUGUGACGCAAGCCGUAACUUCAGCAGUCAACGGAGAGAAGAGUGGAAACCUUACUGGAUGCGGACAGGAGAGCCAGUUACUGAAAGCAGAUAUAACGCGGAUCCUGUAAAGAGUGUGAUUGACAGACAAACCCCUAAAAUGAGAAGGAUCAGUGCGUCUGUCUGUAGAGAGUGACAGCGUUGAAGCAAGACAUUCAGAAGCCAGCCUGACACAAAGGGGACAAGAACAACUGCCACCCCAGCCCCCAUCUCAUUCCAAC
rnacentral:lncRNA from 10 species